UCAUGCUGAAGGUGUGAUUGAUGCCCUGCCUGGCCAGGGGUGCUGUUUUUAAACUUCCUCUUAGAGUUGAUGGCUCUGUGUCUGUGCUAUUCUCUAGUAGAUGAAAGAAGCUUUAAGAAGCCAAAACAACAUGCUCUAAAUAGGCUUUAUUUUUUGGGACAGAUCUGAGCAAAUAUAGCAAGUACCAGAUGGGAUUGUGGAAUUCGUAAGGAAAGAGUGGAUUCAUUUUGAGUUUUCUUAAAUGAGGUGAACUCCCACGUCCAGCUCUCCCAAUGUGACAUUCUGUGCUGUUAAACUUGGGUUUCUCCGUGUAGCUUUGGAGCCUAUCCUGGCACUCGCUCUGGAGACCAGGCUGGCCUCGAACUCACAGAGAUCCACCUGCCUCUGCCUCCCGAGUGCUAGGAUUAAAGGCGUGCGCCAUCAACCCCCGGCUUACAUGGGACAUUCUUAAGAGAAGGGUGCUGGGGCUGGAGAGAUGCUUCAGAGGUUAAGAGCACUGGCUGUUCUUCCAGAGGACCUGAGUUCAAUUCCCAGCAACCACAUGGUGGCUGACAACCAUCUGUUAUGAGAUCUGGUGCCCUCUUCUGGUGUGCAGAUAUACAUGGAAGCAGAAUGUUGUAUACAUAAUAAAUAAACAAAUAAACAAACAAAUGAAUAAAUAAAUAAAAUCUUUAAAAAAAAGUUAAAAAAAGAGAGAAGGGUGCAUUGGUGCCGGCAGAUGGACACAACGUUUAUUCACACACACUCAGCACCAAAAAGGCCACCCCUUUCCUGCCUGUGCCUUCUCUGGCAUGUGUGGCUUCGAUAUGAGUGUUUUCUGGGUUGGUAAGAAUAUUAGACGUGUUUGUCGUGAGAAGAUAAGCAGUCCACACUGGAGGCUUCCCGUGUACACAGAGCUCUUGGAUAGCCCAAACAGGACCCAAGCCCAGAAAGAAAUCACCAGUGCCUUCACUCAGCCCGUCACCAGAAGCAGCACACAUCACACACACACACUCACACACACAUACACCCAUACACACCACACAAACCAUACCACAUACCACACACACACACACACAUACACACAAACCACUCACACACACACACACCCCACACACAUAGGCUCACACACACCACACAUACACACACACAUACACACAAACCACACACACACAUCACACACACAUACAGACACACACCACACACAUACACACCACACACAUCUCUCUCUCUCACACACACACCACACACACACACACAUACAAAUACACACACACACACACACACACAUACAC
rnacentral:lncRNA from 1 species